rnacentral:rRNA from 1 species
GACGAACGCUGGCGGCGUGCUUAACACAUGCAAGUCGAACGGAAAGGCCCUGCUUUUGUUGGGUGCUCGAGUGGCGAACGGGUGAGUAACACGUGAGUAACCUGCCCUUGACUUUGGGAUAACUUCAGGAAACUGCGGCUCAUACCGGAUAUGAGCUCCUGCUGCAUGGUGGGGGUUGGAAAGUUUCGGCGGUUGGGGAUGGACUCGCGGCUUAUCAGCUUGUUGGUGAGGUAGUGGCUUACCAAGGCUUUGACGGGUAGCCGGCCUGAGAGGGUGACCGGCGACAUUGGGACUGAGAUACGGCCCAGAAUCCUACGGGAGGCAGCAGUGGGGAAUAUGGCACAAUGGGCGGAAGCCUGAGGCAGCAACGCCGCGUGCGGGAUGACGGCCUUCGGGUUGUAAACCGAUUUCGCCGGUGACGAAGAGUGAGUGACGGUAAUGGGUAAAGAAGCAACGGCUAACUACGUG